rnacentral:lncRNA from 1 species
CCCUUUUUCUUUUGUCGUUAUAACUCAAGCUGUAAAAGCAAGGUCCAGUGAUGAUCCAUACCCUUUUUCCAGUGUCAUGUUGAAGAUCUUUAUGUAGAAGGCCGUUCCAAAGGAACUCUUUUUGUGUGGUGGGGGAUGGGUUUUCAUUCUUCUUGCUCAGGCUGGAGUUCAAUGGCGUUAUCUUGGCUCACUGCAACCUCUGCCUCUUGGGUUCGUGUGAUUCUCCUACCUCAGCCUCCCGAGUAGGUGGGAUUACAGCGCCCACCAUCAUGCCAGCCUGAUUUUUGUAAUUUUAGUAGAGGCGGGGUUUCAGCAUGUUGGCCAGGCUGGUCUUGAACUCCUGACCUCAGAUGAUCCUCCUGCGUCAGCCUCCCAAAGUGCUGGGAUUACAGAUGUGAACCACCAUGCCCUGCCAGAAAUUUUUUUUAAGAAGACUGUCUACUAAUGGAAUUCCUGGCCUGGAGAGGAUAUUGCUGUCAAAGGAAUGGAUUCAUUUUUUUAUUAAAAGAGAUGAACUUAUGAAUUCAACAGGUGAAGAUUUACAACUUGAUAAAUCAGCUUUGUGAGGUAGGUCUUUAGUCUUUAGUCAGGUUAGAAGAUUAUGUGAAGUAACGUUUAACAUUAAUUUCUUUUAAUGGUAGCUUUCACAUGAAAUAAUAUGCCUCUAAGUAUUAAUUAUGUGCCAGGACAGGAGAAUUCAUGUUUUCAAAAUUCUCAUACUCUCUAGAACAAACUCAUUUUCUUUUUAUUAACCCAUUUUUAAAUAUGUGUAAAUACUACAUUUUGGGUAGACAAAACUGAAAAAACAAUAUUUGUCCUACUUUUGAGAUGCAAGAUUAAUGUGGCGUAAUGCAUCGAACAGGUUAUUAUUGAAGUCUACACCAGUCAACUGAACAAGCAUUCAUCAAAUGUCCAUGAUACUCAGGACAUAAGAAGUUUUUAUUACUAGUAUGGAGCCGUGCAUAUUAUCUUUUAAUUAGAUGAUUUAGU